CCUACGGGUGGCAGCAGUGAGGAAUAUUGGUCAAUGGACGAGAGUCUGAACCAGCCAAGUAGCGUGAAGGAUGACUGCUCUAUGGGUUGUAAACUGCUUUUAUAUGGGAAUAAAAUGUUCCACGUGUAGGAUGUUGAAUGUAUCAUAUGAAUAAGGAUCGGCUAACUCCGUGCCAGCAGCCGCGGUAAUACGGAGGAUUCGAGCGUUAUCCGGAUUUAUUGGGUGUAAAGGGAGCGUAGGUGGAUGGUUAAGUCAGAUGUGAAAGUGUGCGGCUCAACCGUGAAAUUGCAUUUGAAACUGGCAGGCUAGAGUUCAGUAGAGGUAGGCGGAAUUCGUGGUGUAGCGGUGAAAUGCAUAGAUAUCACGAAGAACACCGAUUGCGAAGGCAGCUUACUGGACUGCAACUGACGCUGAGGCUCGAAAGUGUGGGUAUCAAACAGGAUUAGAUACCCGGGUAGUC
rnacentral:rRNA from 1 species